CGAGUUCUUCUUCGUCUGCCAGCAAGUGUAGUGAGGAGCAGCCGUGCCAAAGGGCCACCUUGUCCCAAACCUCCACCGCCAAGUUGCAUUGCCAGAAGACGUGACCAGAGCAUUCCAGGUUGUGCAUGCAUAGCUGACAGAAAAUAGUGUUUUUCCCGUCCACGACGUUGCAUGCGAUCAUUGCACCAAAGUCGGUUUUGGUGUAGGAGCUAGGGCAAAACUCUGAACUUUCUUGGUGCCCAUGCAUCCCAGAAGACCUGCUCGAAUAACUCCAUUGAAUCCAAGAAUUUGUAAAUGGCAAGCAGAGUUGGCUGAGUAGACACACGAGCUUUCAAAAUUCUAUCUCACUUGGUCUUCUGUGUCACUGUGUAGGGGGACGCAGAUCAGGUGACAUGCAAACGGCAUGUCACCGUGUGCCUCGCGGCCUCCCAUCCACCGUCCAGCCAGAAUCCAACGGAUAGGAGCACUCCAAGGCAAAAACAAUAUCCAGACAUAGACCAAAUCGAGCACGGAUCAGCAGAAAAAUCUGGCGGGGAAGGCAGGGAAAAGGCGGGCUUUGGCACGGCGAUUCGCCGGCGUCUCCUCGCCUCGCGGCCUUCGCCGGCCGCCGCCGCCGUCACCGCCCGCCGUCAGCCGUCGUCACUGAGGAGAGGCAGGGACGAGCGCCGUCCUCCGCGGGAACCAGGGCCGAACGCUGCCGCGGGUCGGGGGCGAGCGCCGUCCGCCGCGAGAGCCGGGGACGAGCGCCGCCGCGAGCCGGGACGAGCGCUGCCGCGAGCUGGGGACCGUUCAUCAUCGUCAGCGACCUCUUCUCAGGAACUACUUCUAUUUUGAGUCAGCACUACAUUUCUGAAUAAAUGUGGAGACUUGCAGCGAGUAUUGUACUUCUAUUUUGAGUAUACACUGUGGAAUUUGGCAGAAUUGUGCGUUGUGCGAUGGGAUCGAUUGGCAACAGGAUACCCAAAGUUGGUAUGCGGUUCAGAAAUUCGGAUGAGGCUUGGGAGUUCUGGGUGCAAUAUGGAGGUCACAUAGGCUUUGAUUUGAGGAAAAGAAAUACCAUCAGAAGCAGAAUUGAUGGAACAAUCACUUCAUGUAGGUUUGUUUGUUCCAAUGAAGGCAUUCGAAGGAAAAAUCAAAUAGAUCACGAGCCGAAGCGCAUUAGAGCUGAAACAAGAACCAAUUGUAAAGUUCGGAUGAUUGUUUCAUUUGAUCGAGUGGCCAAUUUUUUUGAAGUCACCGAAGUUGAUUUGGAACACAAUCACCUCCUUCAAUUGCCACAAACCUGUCACUUGUUGGCAUCACAAAGGAAGAUUUCAGAUGUGCAAGCUUUAGAGAUAGAAACGGCCGAUGAUUCUGGAAUUAUGCCAAAAGCUUCACAUGAGUUUGCAUGUCGUCGAGCUGGUGGGAAGUUCAACGUUGGUUACACUUUGACUGACCAAAAGAAUCAUUUGCGAACCAAGCGGCAGCGGGAGAUGGCUUAUGGACAGGCCGGUAGUAUGUUGAAGUUCUUUCGUGACUAGAGAAGCUCGCAAUGGAAGUAUAGAAGAUAAGGAAGGAAGGAAAGUGGUAGAAGAUCCAAAAUUUGAAGCUCAACUUCGGUACAGGGAUUUGUCUCAUCAAUUUCACAAUGUGGCACAUGGAGCAGCCAGCUCCCCACAGUGUUGUUUGCUAUUGGCUAAUGCACUUGCCUCCGUUGCACCUAGCAUACAGGAAAUACUCAAUGCCACUGGUGCUAUGGAUGAACCAUAUAAAGACAAAGAGAAUGUUGACCCAAAUGUGCAGCAAAUAGAUGAAUUGCUUAGAGCUGCACGACUGAAGAAAAAAGAGGUUCCGGCAACAAAAUUAAGGAGAAAGCAAACUUGGCUUGAUAAGUUACUCAAGGGGAAGAGUAUACCAUUGAAAUCUACCGCGCCGACCAAAACAGGAGAAAAUCCACAAAAGAAGAAGGAUGGUGUGCAACAAAAGAAGAAGGAUGAUGUACAGCCUCAAGUACUAGUGGAGAAGUGUGACAACAUCAAAGGAGUAAAUAUCAAGCCCCAAGAGUGCAAUGCUAUCAUGAGUUUCACCCAGCUCUUGACGGCUCCGCCUUGUGGUGAGGAUGAUCUGUUCUAGCGUGCAAGCCUGCUAGAAGUAUUUUGGACAUAGUUAAGUGUAGUAUUUUGGGCUAACUAUAGUCGUCUUUUGGAGCCUAAGUGUACAAAUCAGAUGGCACUAAAUGGCUGUUAAGAGCUCACUGAAUUCACUGGAAAGUGGUACUGAAACUUCAAAUCAUGUACUUCUGAAUUACUUGUGAUGAAGUGGGUUCUCUGAAUCUAAAUAGUGAUGAAUGGCAUGUCUGAAUUUCUUAUGAAUAUGAAUGUAAACAGUAUAUUUGACUGUUGUUUGUACUGUUUCCGGACUAAAAGGCUGAUGUUUA